rnacentral:tRNA from 1 species
GCGCGGAUGGUGGAACUGGUAGACACGCGAGACUUAGGAUCUCGUGCCGCAAGGUGUGGGGGUUCAAGUCCCCCUCCGCGCACCA